UGCGCAGGCGGUUAUAUAAGUCAGAUGUGAAAUCCCCGGGCUCAACCUGGGAACUGCAUUUGAGACUGUAUGGCUAGAGUGUGUCAGAGGGGGGUAGAAUUCCACGUGUAGCAGUGAAAUGCGUAGAUAUGUGGAGGAAUACCGAUGGCGAAGGCAGCCCCCUGGGAUAACACUGACGCUCAUGCACGAAAGCGUGGGGAGCAAACAGGAUUAGAUACCCUGGUAGUCCACGCCCUAAACGAUGUCUACUAGUUGUCGGGACUUAAUUGUCUUGGUAACGCAGCUAACGCGUGAAGUAGACCGCCUGGGGAGUACGGUCGCAAAGAUUAAAA
rnacentral:rRNA from 1 species